rnacentral:misc_RNA from 1 species
AAAGUCGUAACAAGGUAACCGUAGGUGAACCUGCGGUUGGAUCAUUAAUAAAAUAAAAAUUGUUUUACCCGUUGUUAAUUCAAUGCGUGUAAAAAGAUCUUUACCCUUAAAAAAGGUAAUUUUCCACCCCAAUUUUUUGUGAACUUGUAGCCUUAAAAAAAUAAUUUGAUGAAAUGGAAAUGAUUUUGGGUUUGGGAACUAGCGUCCUAAACCCAAGUUUCUUCCUUUUUUGAAAAAUUUAUGAAAUGCCAUAACACUGAAUGAACUUGUCUUUACCAUUUUUAAUAAAAAAAAUUAUAAACAACUUUUGACAACGGAUCUCUAGGCUCUC